GAUGAACGCUGGCGGCGUGCCUAAUACAUGCAAGUCGAGCGAACGGACGAUAAGCUUGCUUCUCUGAUGUUAGCCGCGGACGGGUGAGUAACACGUGGAUCCCCUCCCUAUAUGACUGGGAUCUCUUCGGGACACCGGCGCUAAUACCGGAUAAUAUUUUGAUCCGCAUGGUUCAAUAGUGAAAGACGGUCUUGCUGUCACUUAUAGCUGCAUCCGCGCUGCAUUAGCUUGUUGGUAAGGUAACGGCUUACCAAGGCAACGAUGCAUAGCCGACCUGAGAGGGGGAUAGGCCACACUGGAACUGAGACACGGACAAGACGACUGAGGGAGGCAGCAGUAGCGAAUCUGACGCAAUGGGCGAAAGCAUGGCAGAAUGGCGGCGCGUGAGAGAUAAAGGUGUUGCGAUCGGAAAACUCUGUUAUGAGGGAAAAACAGAUGUGUAAGUAACUGUGGACAUCGUGACGGUACCGAAUCAGAAAGCAACGGCUAACUACGUG
rnacentral:rRNA from 1 species